rnacentral:tRNA from 1 species
GGGCGAGUGGCGGAAUUGGCAGACGCGCCAGAUUUAGGUUCUGGUACCUCGCGGUGUGCGGGUUCAAGUCCCGCCUCGCCCACCA